ACCAUUUUCUUCUCAAUUUCUCCGUAGGUAUUGCUCAAGGCCAGCCAUACCCAGCUUAUCUUCUUCUAUUCUUGUAAAAAUUCUACAAUUGAUUUUGUAAAUCAAAGCUGGAAUGUACCUGGUGUUAGCAUUUUUAUGAUUGGGUCUUGGGCUUUGAUUGAUUAUAUUUAUCUUUGAUUUCUGCCGAAAUGUCCACAAACGAAGAUGUUGCAUCGCGUCGAGCUGAAGAGGCCAAGGAACAACGACGACGUGAUAGAAAUCUACGACGUCGCACUAGAUAUGCACAAAUGUCACCUGAAAGGAAACAAUCAUUUUUGCUGAUACUGCAAGCUAAGAGAGCUGAAUCAAAAAAGCGGCGACUUAAUCCUCAUUCAAGUAAUACACUAUCCUUAAUGGAAACUGGUACUCAACCUUAAAGAUAGAGUGCUCUUACAGUUGGUGAUCGUCCGUUAGAUUCAAAAAAAGGUAGAAAAGUAUAUUGUUCUCUAACUUAUCAAAGACAUUAGAUAUACAAACAAUGUUGAAUGCGCAUAUAUAAGUAUAUAGUGAUGAAUACAUCGAUCCACAAUCAUUAAAGUGACUUUUUAGAUUCUUUCAAUUGUUAUGUCAUGCUUCUAAAGCUACAAAUAUGCCAGUUAUUAUAGAUAAAGGAAAUAAUAUGAUUGAUUGCAUGUCCAUCUUUGAAGUAUGUAAGCGUCCAAAAAUAAAACUAUAAAUGUUCCCACUAUACAAAUUACUUUACUGAUUAGUUAUACAUGCGUAAACAUUAAACACUGCAAUAUCAGGAUCAACUUCAGGUACAUGUAAUGCAGGAAUUUCUUCAACUCCAGCAGCUACUGCACAUAGAGGUAAAAUAAAUUUCGAAGUCGAAUUGCAGAAUGAUGACUUGUUGCUAAAAAAUUACGUACAUUUUAAAGAAGUUCCGGAUUGUAAAUUUUGUGGAUCAAAAAGGUUCCAAUAUGAACCACCAAAAUUCUGUUGUGGUAGCGGAUCAAUAAAAUUGACUUCUCAUCAAA